UCGGCCGGGGAUGAUCAUAACCCCAUGCUGUCCGACUCUGUUGCCUCCGGGGCGUCCCUGCCUCACGGCGGGGGCCCCGGGUGGACACAUUCAAACUCUUGCGUAACUUUGCAGUCUGAGUAAAUUUAAUUAAUAAAUUAAAACUUUCAACAACGGAUCUCUUGGUUCUGGCAUCGAUAAAGAACGCAGCGAAAUGCGAUAAGUAAUGUGAAUUGCAGAAUUCAGUGAAUCAUCGAAUCUUUGAACGCACAUUGCGCCCCCUGGUAUUCCGGGGGGCAAGCCUGUUCGAGCGUCAUUUCACCACUCAAGCCUCGCUUGGUAUUGGGCGACGCGGUCCGCCGCGCGCCUCAAAUCGACCGGCUGGGUCUUCUGUCCCCUCAGCGUUGUGGAAACUAUUCGCUAAAGGGCGCCACGGGAGGUCACGCCGUAAAACAAGCCCAUUUCUAAGGUUGACCUCGGAUCAGGUAGGGAUACCCGCUGAACUUAAGCAUAUCAA
rnacentral:rRNA from 1 species